UAUCAACACUAGAUCCCAGAGAUAGCAUUAAAGAUCUUGAAUGGUUUGCUAACGUAAUUGUGGUGAUAGAAAUGUAUUAGCCUCAGAAGCUACUGUGGUGGUUCAUUCUAUCCUAGUACAGUG
ensembl:snoRNA SNORA66 Small nucleolar RNA SNORA66